AAAAAUAAUCUAGUUUUUCUUAUUUUCAAGAGCUGCCUCUCUUGUCGUGGUAAUUGCCCAAACUUGGUCUCAAAUUCCCUGAUUAAUUCAUUUGGAGCCAAUUGAUUUCCUGGCCUUUGCUCAAUCUACUCCAAAAAAGUCUGUCUUGUCAUUCUUUCUGAAUCUUCUGCAAAAAAUUCAUCUUUCAAGAGUUCUUUAAAUUUCUUCCAUGAUAUAGCCUCAAUAUAUAACUCUUACAUUCUUUCUCUGAUUUCUGAUACUACUGCCAAAUCAAAGGUGGUAAUCAUCUUCAUCUCUAAAACUUGAUGUACCUCCAUUUCACAUGUGUAAAUCCUUAAGAACUUGGUGAUAUUCCUUCCAUCAAACCUCUCAACUU
rnacentral:lncRNA from 1 species